rnacentral:rRNA from 1 species
GUGUCAGCAGCCGCGGUAAUACGUAGGGUGCGAGCGUUAAUCGGAAUUACUGGGCGUAAAGCGUGCGCAGGCGGUUUUAUAAGUCAGAUGUGAAAUCCCCGAGCUCAACUUGGGAACUGCGUUUGAAACUGUAAGACUAGAGUGUGUCAGAGGGGGGUAGAAUUCCAUGUGUAGCAGUGAAAUGCGUAGAUAUAUGGAGGAAUACCAAUGGCGAAGGCAGCCCCCUGGGAUAACACUGACGCUCAUGCACGAAAGCGUGGGGAGCAAACAGGAUUAGAUACCCUGGUAGUCCACGCCCUAAACGAUGUCUACUAGUUGUUGGUGGAGUAAAAUCCAUGAGUAACGCAGCUAACGCGUGAAGUAGACCGCCUGGGGAGUACGGUCGCAAGAUUAAAACUUAAAUGAAUUGACGGGG